UGGCUCAGUGGUUAAGAGCACUGGGUGCUCUUCCAGAGGACCUGGGUUCAAUUCCCAG
rnacentral:tRNA from 1 species